ensembl:lncRNA
GUAUUAAGGUAGAAUUUUAUUAAAAAUAUAAUGCAUUUGCAGUAUACUUGGCAUUAAAUAAAUGUAUUUAUGGCAUGCAUAAUACAGCGAUCGUUUUCAUGGAUCCAUGUAAAUGGGGAUUCUUUUGACAAAUUCUGUGAAACUUCUCAAAAACACAAAGGAAAAACUUUUCAGUUUUUAGUACAAUUGUUGCAAUGUAUAAAUACCCUAUACAGACAUGGAAUAAAAUCCACAAAACACUCAUUUUCUUUGUUAAAAUACAAGUGUAUAUAAGGCUAGGUUUGGUGUUUUCAUUCAUUUUUGGUAGGAAUUAAAUGAGUUUCUGCCUUGAUCUGAAUGCUCAGAGAAUGUUUUCCGUAUGUUAAAAGCUUUUGCUUUGCUCUCUCCUUGCUGAGGCGCCGGUGUAUCUGAAGAGAACGCAGGGUCUCGCCAGGUCUCCCCAUACUUUAGGGCCCGUUGCAAAGCGACGUGCAGCCCAUGGCUAUGUCUGCAUUGAGUAAACUGUCAGUCCCCUUUUCAAAAGCUGCCCUGUUACCACGGCAACAGGCUCAAUGUCUCCGUCACUGCCAUUCAGGAUUUCACAGCCUCUGAAAACGGCGGAAGCAGGUCCCACACCAACGUCAUCUCUCAUCUUCCAGCCUUUAACACCAGACAGGUUGUGUUGUGCUGCGAGGGCUCGUGGGCCAGUGUUUCAGAUAAAGCUGCUUCGUUUCCUCUGCUCUUGGCUUCCUGUCACCAUGGAGAUGCCUCCCUGCCACAAUGCCUCUGUCUCAUUACGGAUUCUUCCCAAAGGUCCUGGAAGUGAUGUUUGGUCUUGCCUGACAAUGUGGGAUGGAGUUCAGACCUCCUGGAGAAAGAGUUUGCGGUGCAGCUGAGGGCCAAUGGCGCAGGACUAAUCCUGGUUGUCUUAGCAACCGACCAGCUGCUGCCUGUCUUCCACCAUAAAAGCCAUUCAGACUCUCAUUUUUCUUUUGACUUUUGUACAAAUCACUAUCUUUUCAUAUUCAUCACACAUAUAUAUUUUAUGCCCUCAUCCUUGCACAUCUGUGAUUUGGAGAGGUAUUCUGAGUGCAGUUGUUGCUCAUCUGAUAGGAGCUGGGACGUGAUAAUAUUCUGCAAUAGGAAUAAGUCAGACCCCCCCCCCAGAAAUGCUCUGUUUCUGUGUCAGAGUAACAUUUAUAUAUACGUUUAUAUGAAUGUGACGGUGCGCUAAAUCAACUCUUUAAAACAGUGGAAUUUUAUUUUUAAAAAUCUAUGAAAAAUUCCAUGAGACAUUUUCUGAACAUUAAGUAAAAUAAAUUAAAAUAAAAUUACA